CCAAACCGCCCCAUCAAAAAAAUUUGUCCUCUCUCCAAAGCGUAAAUAGAAAAAAUAAAUUCUGCUCUCAGUGUUUCUCGCGGCAGUGCUCUGGGGAGGGUUGAUGACAACAAGCUCCACUGCCUUGUCCGCAGACAGGACCGGGCCGGGGCUGCAUGUGCCUCACCCGAGUGCGGGCAGGAAGGGUCGGCAAGGCACGGCACCACUAUAAAAACAAAAAAAAAUCACCGCUGUGAGCAACCCGAAAUAACCUCAAAAAUCCGCCGUUUCAGCAGAGCUGGAUGCAAUGUAUAAGUCGGAAUGGGGUGUGUAUAGGGUUUUUUUUCAUUCCCUAAGUUUUUGGGUUUUAUGUCUGUCUGUCAGGGAAGCAUCCCCAUCCAGGUGCGCCCCGUCGGGGUCCGGUACCGGAGGUGGGAGCUGCGACUUCUCGCCAGCUUCUUGGAGACCCCGCUCCCCGCCGGGAGCUCAAUGCUGUCUGUCGGAUAAUGGGGCGGUGGGACUUUGUUUAACCCCGUUGCCCCUGGGGCCAGGGGUCAAGGGCUUCCUCUUCCCCCGGGACACGGCGGAGAUGCGGUUGGUCACAACAGGAGGACCGCGGCGAAGAGGGGGAAGUGAUGGCCGCAGCGUACCCCUGUCCCCGCCGCGGCCCUCCCUCUGCCAUCGCCGUGGAAUCCCGUGAACCUCCUUCUCUCCCAGGCAUCGAAAGGCUGAGAAGGGCUCCAGAUGGAUGUUUUGGGGGAGCAGGGGGCGGCCAAACAUCACCACGGGGCAGAGGGUGAUGAUGCAGAGAGGCGGCCCCUGUCUUCCAGCAUCCCCCGGUUCUGCUUUCUCCUCCCAGCUGGAGCAGGACGUUUUUAACGGGGUUCCGGUUUUAAUAGGGUUUCACCCCCUCCCUCCACAGGUAGAGAUGUCUCAGCUGCCCCCCCGGAGCCAAGAAACGGGAGAAACGGGCAAUUUUUAUAGGUGACGUACGGGCUUACGUGGGAAUCUGUGCCCAGCACUGCUCUUUCAGCUUUUUUUUCUCCUCAAAUAACCCUUCCGUGAAGCUCGUACCCCUCUAUUCCAUCUCGCAACCCCUUUUCCAGGCUGGGGAGGAGUCGGGAGAGAGGGAAGGAAAAGAGAAAAGAAAAUAAUCCCAACAUCCCGCUCUUUCCCUGCUCGGGAAGAGAGCCCCGGAGCUCCCAAAGUGAGCGCUGAAGAGGGCGGCGGGAGACAGGCGGGAGCCGGCUCCGAGGUGGAGGGGUCGGGGGUGGGAUAAGAGUAGAGGAGGACCCUCCUUUUCGGGAUUAAGGGAGAACCGGCGAAGGAGGGAAGCUGGCGGCACCGUGGGCAUCCGAGGUUUUCGACUCUGGGUGAGCAAAAGGAUUUCUUACACUCCCCGGGAAGAGGAGAAGACGUGUUUUUUUUAAAAAAAAAAUUAAUGGUGCUAAUUGCUUUUAAAAUAAAAUACUACGGAAUUUGGCAACGA